AUGAGCACAGGAAUAGCAAUACUGCAGCUCAAAAAACAGACGCUGGAAGGAUUCAACGGGUCAAGCAUCUCUGGAGGCAAAAGGUGGAAAUCGAUGUUUCAAGUCAAGACCCUGCAUCAGGACUGAGAGGGAAGAGGAAAGAUUGCCUGUAUAUAGGAGUGCAAAGGAGGGCAGGGGGUUGGGACAGAGGCUGACUAUUUUGAAGAACAGGCAAGAUCUCCUGAGAGACACAAGAGACUGCAGAUGCUGGAAUCUGGAACAAAAAAAUCAGCUGCUGGAGGAACUCAGCAGAAGCCCUGCUUUGGCACGUCCCGACAUUGUGA